rnacentral:lncRNA from 1 species
AGAGUAACAUCUACUUCCAUUUUAGGGCACAAUCUGGGGAAAUGUCUUGGAAAGAUGUGUGUUCCUCAUAAAGAAUAAGGUCCGGAGAGCAAGUAUUUGAGGUAUAUUUGUAAGAAGAGUCAAUUGAGUUUGCAUGCUUGAGAAUUUCUGGAAGUACUGCAGAUUUACUUCUCCCACUGGUUACACUACAACCAGUGGCAGUAAAUGAAGUAGUUCUACAUACAUGUUGACCUUUUAUUCUUCCAGUCAGCACUGCUGCCUAAAAGAGACUUCAUACUGAGGAAGGGCAGAGCUCGCCUAUGCAAAGAGAACUCAGGCUGCUUCAGGUACCUCUUGUGGGCUCAAUGUCUUGGAGAAAACUGGCUUCAGAGGUAUAUAUGGCCUGGAAUUCCAAAAUUAGUCAAGGUUGACAGUGAUUCAGCUGAUCUAGAACUGGAGUCAACUGAGAAGCUUUGCUUGAGGCUACGGGUAUUGUUGCAAAAAUAG